rnacentral:tRNA from 1 species
GCUGAGUUGGCGGAGUAGUCAAUCGCACCUCGCUGUAGACGAGGCGGCCGUCCGGCCUACGGGAGUGCAAAUCUCUCACUCAGCA